CCUCCUAUAGUCUAGCGGUAAGGACAAUGGUUCUUGAUACCAUGAGCAUGUGUUCGAAUCACAUUAGGAGGU
rfam:Emiliania huxleyi virus 86 isolate EhV86